rnacentral:lncRNA from 1 species
CGCUUCUCAAGAAUUCCAAGUGACGGCAAAUAACAUACAACAAGUGUAUUGUCCAAGAGGAGCUUCACAUCUCGGAGAUUGUUUCUAUGGACGUCUUGACUUCGAAAAUUCUAUGUUAUCUCCAUGGGCACCAGGUAAUUGCAACGAAGCAAUAAUGCAUAGAACAUAUCGUGGUGGUGUACAAUGCAGCAAUUGAAUAUUUAAAAUACUUUGAAAAAUUGGAUUCGUUUAAUAAAACUUGCAAUUCACAUUUUUUUUCAAACAUUAUAAAUUCUUUUGAAUAAAUAGCUGCCAGCAAGAUGUGUACACAAUGUUAUGUAGCAUACUCUCCAAUAAAUCAAUUACCGAA